rnacentral:misc_RNA from 1 species
CGCGCAUUGCGCCCUUUGGUAUUCCGAAGGGCAUGCCUGUUCGAGCGUCAUUUUCACCCCUCAAGCCCCCGGCUUGGUGUUGGACGGUUUGGUCCAGGGCCCCCCCUGGACCCCUCCCAAAGACAAUGACGGCGGGCUGUUGCACCCCCGGUACACUGAGCAUCUUCACGGAGCGCGUACCGGUCUCAAGGGUCGACGGCACCCGGUCUACACCUAUAUCUUUCACAAGGUUGACCUCGGAUCAGGUAGGAAUACCCGCUGAACUUAA